rnacentral:rRNA from 1 species
CUUUCCCUCUUUCCUCCGGCCUCCCCCCUGCACGUCGAGCGGAUGAAGGGAGCUUGCUCCUGGAUUCAGCGGCGGACGGGUGAGUAAUGCCUAGGAAUCUGCCUGGUAGUGGGGGAUAACGUCCGGAAACGGGCGCUAAUACCGCAUACGUCCUGAGGGAGAAAGUGGGGGAUCUUCGGACCUCACGCUAUCGGAUGAGCCUAGGUCGGAUUAGCUAGUUGGUGGGGUAAAGGCCUACCAAGGCGACGAUCCGUAACUGGUCUGAGAGGAUGAUCAGUCACACUGGAACUGAGACACGGUCCAGACUCCUACGGGAGGCAGCAGUGGGGAAUAUUGGACAAUGGGCGAAAGCCUGAUCCAGCCAUGCCGCGUGUGUGAAGAAGGUCUUCGGAUUGUAAAGCACUUUAAGUUGGGAGGAAGGGCAGUAAGUUAAUACCUUGCUGUUUUGACGUUACCAACAGAAUAAGCACCGGCUAACUUCGUG